AUUGAACGCUGGCGGAAUGCUUUACACAUGCAAGUCGAACGGCAGCACGGGGGCAACCCUGGUGGCGAGUGGCGAACGGGUGAGUAAUGUAUCGGAACGUGCCAGUCGUGGGGGAUAACGUAGUGAAAAUUACGCUAAUACCGCAUACGAUCUACGGAUGAAAGCGGGGGAUCGCAAGACCUCGCGCGAUUGGAGCGGCCGAUAUCAGAUUAGGUAGUUGGUGGGGUAAAGGCUCACCAAGCCAACGAUCUGUAGCUGGUCUGAGAGGACGACCAGCCACACUGGAACUGAGACACGGUCCAGACUCCUACGGGAGGCAGCAGUGGGGAAUUUUGGACAAUGGGCGAAAGCCUGAUCCAGCCAUUCCGCGUGCAGGAUGAAGGCCUUCGGGUUGUAAACUGCUUUUGUACGGAGCGAAAAGGCUCUCUCUAAUACAGGGGGCUCAUGACGGUACCGUAAGAAUAAGCACCGGCUAACUACGUGCCAGCCGCCGCGUAA
rnacentral:rRNA from 1 species